UACGUAGGGUGCAAGCGUUAAUCGGAAUUACUGGGCGUAAAGCGUGCGCAGGCGGCUUUGCAAGACAGAUGUGAAAUCCCCGGGCUUAACCUGGGAACUGCAUUUGUGACUGCAUGGCUGGAGUGCGGCAGAGGGGGAUGGAAUUCCGCGUGUAGCAGUGAAAUGCGUAGGUAUGCGGAGGAACACCGAUGGCGAAGGCAAUCCCCUGGGCCUGCACUGACGCUCAUGCACGAAAGCGUGGGGAGCAAACAGG
rnacentral:rRNA from 1 species